UACGUAGGGGCCGAGCGUUGUCCGGAGUUAUUGGGCGUAAAGCGCGCGCAGGCGGCCUCGCGCGCCCGACGUGAAAGCCCCCGGCUUAACCGGGGAGGGUCGUUGGGGACGGCGGGGCUUGAGGGCGGGAGAGGUGGGUGGAAUUCCCGGUGUAGUGGUGAAAUGCGUAGAGAUCGGGAGGAACACCUGUGGCGAAGGCGGCCGACUGGGCCGACCCUGACGCUGAGGCGCGAAGGCGUGGGGAGCGAACGGG
rnacentral:rRNA from 1 species